AAUUCGAUGCAACGCGAAGAACCUUACCUGGUCUUGACAUCCUCGGAAGUUUUCAGAGAUGAGAAUGUGCCUUCGGGAACCGUGAGACAGGUGCUGCAUGGCUGUCGUCAGCUCGUGUUGUGAAAUGUUGGGUUAAGUCCCGCAACGAGCGCAACCCUUAUCCUUUGUUGCCAGCGGUCCGGCCGGGAACUCAAAGGAGACUGCCAGUGAUAAACUGGAGGAAGGUGGGGAUGACGUCAAGUCAUCAUGGCCCUUACGACCAGGGCUACACACGUGCUACAAUGGCGCAUACAAAGAGAAGCGACCUCGCGAGAGCAAGCGGACCUCAUAAAGUGCGUCGUAGUCCGGAUUGGAGUCUGCAACUCGACUCCAUGAAGUCGGAAUCGCUAGUAAUCGUGGAUCAGAAUGCCACGGUGAAUACGUUCCCGGGCCUUGUACACACCGCCCGUCACACCAUGGGAGUGGGUUGCAAAAGAAGUAGGUAGCUUAAC
rnacentral:rRNA from 1 species